rnacentral:rRNA from 1 species
AGGCAACUCUGAUCCAGCCAUGCCGCGUGCAGGAAGACGGCCCUAUGGGUUGUAAACUGCUUUUAUACGGGAAGAACCACAUCUACGUGUAGAUGCUUGACGGUACCGUAUGAAUAAGGACCGGCUAACUCCGUGCCAGCAGCCGCGGUAAUACGGAGGGUCCAAGCGUUAUCCGGAAUCAUUGGGUUUAAAGGGUCCGUAGGCGGAAUAAUAAGUCAGUGGUGAAAGUCUGCAGCUCAACUGUAGAAUUGCCAUUGAUACUGUUAUUCUUGAAUUAGUAUGAAGUGGUUGGAAUGAGUAGUGUAGCGGUGAAAUGCAUAGAUAUUACUCAGAACACCUAUUGCGAAGGCAGAUCACUAAUACUAUAUUGACGCUGAGGGACGAAAGCGUAGGUAGCGAACAGGAUUAGAUACCCUGGUAGUCUACGCCGUAAACGAUGGUUACUAGCUGUCCGGCCUAAUUGAGGGCUGGGUGGUUAAGCGAAAGUGAUAAGUAACCCACCUGG